UACGAAGGGGGCUAGCGUUGCUCGGAAUCACUGGGCGUAAAGCGCACGUAGGCGGCUUCUUAAGUCAGGGGUGAAAUCCUGGAGCUCAACUCCAGAACUGCCUUUGAUACUGAGGAGCUUGAGUCCGGGAGAGGUGAGUGGAACUCCGAGUGUAGAGGUGAAAUUCGUAGAUAUUCGGAAGAACACCAGUGGCGAAGGCGGCUCACUGGCCCGGUACUGACGCUGAGGUGCGAAAGCGUGGGGAGCAAACGGG
rnacentral:rRNA from 1 species